CCAUUUUAGAUUCUUCUGUUCAGAGUUCUCUGUUUAGGUCGGUACUACAUUUUUUAUUUGAUUAUAUGUUCUUUUGAUGACCAAUUUGGGCCCAAGGAAGUAAGCUCCACAAGAGAAAAGCCGGGUUAGUUUUUUUUUCUUUAACAAGAUUCCAAUUUUUGGUUUUGUGACCUUCUUGAUGCUCAGACUUGGGUCCAUGAUUUCAGUACACUUUCAGAUCAGUCCUUGAAUGCUUUUGGAAGUCAAAGGUCAGAAGGCUCUCAAAGAUGAUGUUCUCUCUGGAGAGUCCCGAAACCAUAUGUGACUGUCCCCCCUUCUAAAUCUCAGCUAUAAUCUACUGCAUAAUCUAGCAGACUCCAUCAUUCAUUAACUUUCAGAGGAUUCUGAAAUCAACUGCUGUCCCGAUUUCUGGAACAAUGAGCUUCACCCAAAAGCCAUGCUGAACUCGACUGGAUUGGGAAUCCCAUUAUCAAACAGGAUUAUCUUUUUGUAAACUAAAAAACCCUCCUCUGAGUUCUGGGGAGACAACUUAGAUCCACCUGAAAGAGGUCAGAUGCAAUCUCAAGAUGCACCCCCAGGUCCCAGUGACACUGGACGGUCUCACAAAGCCUGGACAGCAGAGUGAGACAGCCAGCUAUCUCAGCUUUCUCAAGGCCCUAAGAAGACAAGAAUGGGUCUUCAGGACUCGGCACCCUCAUUCCACCUAACCUGCGACUCGAAUUUCCUCACCUAAUUAUAACCAGCAACAGGGAGGAAGGCUAUCGGUCAGAAUUAUGCUGUCCUGUGCGCUUGUGGAUCUAGCAGAAUGUUACCAGUCAAAACCACUCCCUACAAACAGGUGGUUCUUAGCAUUUAAGGCAUAAUUCGAGUGUGCCCCAUGGGACACACCUAUAGCCACUGACAUCAUCCCUUCGGACAGGCAUUGUCAACAUUCAGGCAGAUACCUGGCCAGUCCAAGGUCCUACUGCCACUACAUCAGUCUGUUCAAACAUACUACAUUAGUGUAGUCUGGUUUUUCCUGCAUGGAUAUCUUCAAAUCAGAAGAGGGCACCCAAUCUCAUUACAUCUGCUUGUGAGCCACCAUGUAGAUGCUAGGAAUUGAACUCAAGACCACUAGAAGAGCAGUCAGUGCUUUUAACCUCCGAGCCAUCUCUCCAGCCCCCCCUCCCCUUUUCAACACUAAACCUCCAACAAGAGAGUUUUUUGUACAGUGUGAUUUGUCCUCAGUGCAUCGAAUGAACAGUAGCAACGCUGAGACGGUUACUAAAGUUAAGUCUUAAAUCAACGGCAGUCCACAUGAGUUACUCGCAGAGGACCCAGACAGAGAUGUAUAGGAAGAGAACAGAGGAAGGCUUGCAGAGAUUCACAGCCUUUUCCAUCUGGGAAGAUGGAGCCAGGGUUGAUGCUCUGUUGCUUUCUUAGCCUAUCAGGUGUGUACCCCAAUACCUGACUGACUACCAAGACUGAUCAGUAAUAGAUACGUGUAAAUGCUUCAUGAUGUCCGACAUGUGACACACUGCCAUGCUGCAGCUGUCAGAGGACCAUUUCUCAGAACUGCCUCAGGUCACUGGCUUUUCCCCCCAGUAGUAUGGGUCGAAAGAAAUCACACCCCACAGUAAACUCAUUUGUCACACUCGGAACAGGGAAUCUAAAGCUUCUAAUUCUCCAUUCGUGUACACACAAUGCAGCAGCAGCAUUGCUAACCCAGUGCACACCCCCCUGGGACCUCAGUCCUGCUGCACGAGGCCAACUGCAGUUUAUUCUCACUCCAGUGCAUUCAGUGCCCGUUGCAACACUAGUACCCACAAUGCAAGCCCUCCUGCCUGGGCACUGCACUGCCCCACCAGUCAAGUGCCAUCACUGUAGCUGGCUGUCCCUCUAAAAGCUCCCCACCUGAGAUCAACUACAGCUUGCCCUGGCUCCAGUCCAUGCAGCAUAGCUGCAACCCACUACAACACCAGCACCCAUCACCCCCCACUCAAGCCCUCCUAUCUAGCCCAUCACAACAGCCACGAACCAGCACUGUAGCGAGCUACCACUUCUAAAAGCUCUAGGCUGCAGACAGUGCUUAGACAAAGUCAUUCAACAGACAGAUGUGCUGAAGUUUAGGAUGGUAAUCUGUACG